AGCGAACGCUGGCGGCAGGCUUAACACAUGCAAGUCGAGCGGGCACUUCGGUGUCAGUGGCAGACGGGUGAGUAACACGUCGGAACGUACCCUUUGGCUCGGAAUAACGCUGGGAAACUAGCGCUAAUACCGGAUACGCCACUCUGGUGCAAGGUUUGCUGUGGAAGUAUCGGCCGGCGUCCGAUUAGCCAGUUGGUGGGGUAAUGGCCUACCAAGGCUACGCUCAGUAGCUGGUCUGAGAGGAUGGGCAGCCACACUGGGACGGGGAAGCGGCGCAGACUCCUACGGGAGGGAGCAGAGGGGGAUAUAGCACAAUCGCGGCAAGCCUGAACCAGCCAUGCCGGGAGAGUGAUGAAGGCGUGAGAGUUGUAAAGCUGUUUUGUCCGGGACGGUUAUGACGGUACCGGAAGAAUAAGCCCCGGCUAACUUCGUG
rnacentral:rRNA from 1 species